UACUCCACAGUACCUCCGCAUUUGAAGAUUGUCUUCCUGAGACUAUAUCCAUGUGACUUGAUGGAAUCUUGGAAAGCACCUUGAUCACAAAAGUAAUAAAUUCAAAGCCAAGUCCAAGGGUUAAAGUUGGACACAAAAUGAGAAGUUUGGGGAGAUAAGGCUUGGGAGUUGAGAUCCUGCAUGGAAAACAAGAUGAAUUAACUUCCCAGGCUGCGCUUUGGUAUCAGGAUGAUGCUGGCCUCAUAAAA
rnacentral:lncRNA from 1 species